rnacentral:lncRNA from 1 species
CGUGCCGAGUUAGAUCGUCAGACGUAUGUAGGUUGCAGGGUCCUGCUAUAGCAUCUUUAAGAACCGCCGCGUAACUCUGGUGUUGCAUAUCUAUGGCGGUAGCGGCAGAUCUGCAGCCCUGAGCAGUGGCCGCAACAUCUGACGCUCGAUACGACUGCGACGGGAGGGGAGUGAAGUCUGGGUUUGGAGCCUAAAAUUCUAUAGUUAAAUCUAAUACAGAUUUGCCG